rnacentral:rRNA from 1 species
GAUGAACGCUGGCGGCGUGCCUAAUACAUGCAAGUCGAGCGAACAGACGAGGAGCUUGCUCCUCUGACGUUAGCGGCGGACGGGUGAGUAACACGUGGAUAACCUACCUAUAAGACUGGGAUAACUUCGGGAAACCGGAGCUAAUACCGGAUAAUAUAUUGAACCGCAUGGUUCAAUAGUGAAAGACGGUUUUGCUGUCACUUAUAGAUGGAUCCGCGCCGCAUUAGCUAGUUGGUAAGGUAACGGCUUACCAAGGCGACGAUGCGUAGCCGACCUGAGAGGGUGAUCGGCCACACUGGAACUGAGACACGGCCCAGACCCCUAGGGGAGGCAGAGGGGGGGAAUUUUCCGAAAUGGGGGAAAGCCUGACGGAGCAACGCCGGGUGAGUGAGGAAGGUUUUCGGAUGGUAAAACUCUGUUAUUAGGGAAGAAAAAAUGGGUAAGUAACUAUGCACGUUUUGACGGUACCUAAUCAAAAAGCCACGGAUACCUCCGU